rnacentral:lncRNA from 10 species
UGCUUAAUUUAAAUGGAAUUUUAAUUUAUAAAAUUUUAAACUCUCCACAAGUACUGGCCGUGGGCAAAUACAGAAAAUCAGAUUAAAAAAAUAAAUGGAUAAGGGAAAAUUAAAAUUGCAUGACUGUCUUUUAGUCUAAGAGGGAUCUUAUGAGGAUGCUCAACAGUUAACAGUACAUGUUUAGAGAGAACCAAACAAGAGGCUACGUCUUAAAGCAGAAUAGAUUGUGGUUGGGCAUAAGGAGACUAUUGAUUGCUUGAAGACACAGACAGCUCAAGGAAAAUUGGACAUAGAGCUGAAAAGUGAUGUUUUUGACAAAGAAUUGUUCUGCACAUCCAGCUGUGGAGGAAUCCUUAAGGCUCACAGAGGAACAAACAAGAAGCAGUCUUCAGAGAUCAGGGGCGGAAUCCCCAAUGUCAGGAGCAAGGUUGCUGUGGGGAAAUUCUACUCUUCCUAUCUUUCCUGAACUGGAAUUAAAAAGCACCUAAAUCCAGAAGGUAAAGGAUGAGACAGCAAGAGAGGGGGAAGAAUUCCGGAGUUUUAUUAAAGUAGGAAGGAACUUCUCAUCUAUUUGGAAAUGAUUCUCUGAGGUCCCGCUGGAAAGAGUUUUAAAAAAUUUACUCUGGCCAAAAUGCCUUCCUUGUUGUCAAAUCAGCACAAAGUUAAGGUUAAACAUAGCUUAAGACCUGUUCUCUUUAGUUUUCUCACAACCACUUAAAACUGUCAUAACGUACCACCAGUUUAUAUACAAUCAUAUUUACAAAAAAAACACGCAAAAUAUUAAUCCAAAAUAGUUUUUUUUAAUCCUUUGAAGUUAUACCAUCAAACUUGAUGGUAGUUAUUUUAAUAGGUAUUCUUGUGCAUACUUCUUAAGUGUACUUUUAUCUUUAAUGCAUAACUUUUGAAAUUAAGAGGAAAAACAGCAAGCAGGAAGGAUACAAUGCAAUAAGCAUUUGAUUUUGUUCUAAAUGAGCAGCUUUAAAAAAAAAAGGUAAAAUACAUUAAACAAAGUGCAUCAGUUCCAACAAGUUAGUAUUAAAAAGAGGCCUAAGGACAGUGCUGGAACCAGCCAGGAGUCCCUCCCUGGCAGGCCUCUGAUUGUCUUCAGAGAAUAUUCAAUGAAAAAAAAAAAAAAAAAAAAAAGGAAGAAAGGAAGGGAGGGGAAAAGAAAUGAGCACUUGAAAUCUCAAGGGAAACAUUCAAACUACCGUCUCCAGAGAUUCUUGCAAAAGGAGCUAAUGGACUGCCCAACUUUAACUCUGCCUAAGCUUUGUAACCUCCCUCAAUCAUCUGCUUUGUGACUUGAUUUGCCCUAAAAGCCUACCCUCAUCCUUUCAGCACUUUUGUCCACCUCCAUUCUGCCAAGCUAGGUAUGCAGUUAGAUUGAAUAAACCAUGUAGAAACCCUCAGGCCUGAGUUUCCACACAUCCUGAGAACAGGCACCCCCAUCAGCAAAUGGUGGCACCAUUUCACUAGAAGGCACCAUUUGCCUCCAGAAAUAAUGGGAGACCCUUGCCUCCCACAGAUCAGGGUCCGUGCUUUUCUGCUGGUGUUGGAGACUUAUCUGGCAAGGCUGUGGCUUGCUUCUCUCUUAAAACAGUCCUUUGUGAUAGGCCAUAGCACCAGGACAGACCCAAUGGUGUAUUAAGUCAAAAAAGACUCAAGAAGAGGGAGUUUUAGGCCUACUUCUCUAUCUCCCCAACUCUCCACUCCUGGUUUUGCUGGUUCUUGUGAAAAUCUCAGGCUUCUUAAACACCAUACCCAAGAAAAUGACUCUGCAGUGCAUUUGCUGCCCACCACCUUCUACACCUCCCCAUAAAGCUGCCCUCAGAAACAAGGCUACCUGUGUGGUCUGGGACAAGUACUGAAAAAACACCCCUGAAACCACCCUUGGAGUGGGCCUGGAACCAGAUCCAGUUCGACUGAGCAUUGAAUUUAAAACUUAUGCCCAAACUCUAAGUCAUAGGUAGCUUGUUUGGAUAAAUUCAAGUUUCCAAAGUAUGCACAUUCUCACAUAAGGGGUGGGAGUCAUCAAAACUCACUAGUAAAACAUCUAAAGUGAACAAAGUCAAGGAAGAAUUAUAAUCGCAGGAAAGUAACAUUUCUUUUUGGUUUUGCAGGAGGCUCUCUGUCCUACGAUUUCUGAGUCAGCACCAUGACAAACAUAUGGUUGCUUACAGUGGACCCAGGAGCAAGGAAAUCCAAGCUUGCAAAGGGGGCAUCUGGUCCCCACCAAGAUUUGUACUUCAUUUUUUGUAGUGAUGCCUUCUACUCAUUUAACUUCAUAAGACCAACAGAUUUCCUACUGAUAACACAGAACACUUCUGAACUGGUGUGUGCACACACGGCACAUCCUCAAUAUACAGGAUCAGAGUUCAAAUCCAGGGUGUGUUCCACUGUUGAUCAAUUAAACCAGUAAAUGGUGUCUCAAAUAGAACAAUCUUUGGUGAUAUAGGUGCCAAGUAAAUAUAAUUGCCUGUGAUAGUUUUCCCAAAUGUUCCCAUCUAGAUUGCCUGAUAUUCUAUGUGUCCCUCAGAAACACUUUUUGGCUUGAGAGAGGGAAAUGAUUCUGAGUCCCACCCUACCUAAGGCCUCCUAAAGCUUUUAAAUUGUAUUCAGGUACCACAUUCGUGACUGAAUUGGUACUAGAGAGCAAGUAAAGUGUAUCCAGGUCCUCUGGAAGCUAAGGUCCAAUGUCUUCUCUCUCACAGUGAGAAUAUUUUACUUCCAGGAGAAAAGGCAUAUUAAGGCUAAGUUCUGAACUAGUUUUCUAUGUUUGCUUCUACCAUAAGUCAAUAAAUAUUUAUCAAGAAGCUCAUCUUUUCCAGAGGUUAGUAAGUACCCUUCCCUGACCUCACAUAUCUAUAACAUAGAUAAAUGCUAGGAGCCACCUGCAUUGCUGAACAAAGGCAGAUAGCGUGCAAGCUUCCAUAAAUGCAUUCCCUGCAUUAGCCACUUCAACUCUGCUUCAAAUGAGAAGGAUGAAGAUGGUGUACAAAGGAAAACAGCAUAGUCCCCAGAAGCCCUCAAAAUCUAGUCAAAAUGUCACAGAAAAAUCUGCAUGUGCAGCAAAAAGGUUUCCCUAGCACACUAAUUGAGCAGUAGUAGUCUAAUAUUGGUCAGCCAGCUUUUCAAGGUCCAGGAGGAUGAAGUAGUCCAUUAACCUGUUUUCUAAACUUGUCAAUUCAGGGUAAAAAAUGGGUCAUGAAAAAUUUUCUGACCUCAGGCAGGCUGUGGGCCCAGCUGCAGGUGAAAUCCAGACAAAUGCAGUCCCUUCACAAUCAUUGUUAUCUAGCCCAGUCCCAGCAGCUUUGUGAGGUAAAUUAAGUCCAAACUUUAAGUUAAAAAAGUGCCCUGUGCUAAAUUCCCAAUUAUCCUUGCUUACAUAAUAUACGGGAGUCGGCGCUGGGGGAUAUAAUUCUUUAUGCAAUUGCCUAAUAAACUAUGCCUUAAUAGGAGAAUGCAAGAAAUAUUAAGGGAAACUCAACUUACUUGACCAUUUAGAGUCAGCCUUUCUCUAGGAACGGGCUGAGCCUGAAUAAUCAUGGUAUAAACAAGCCUGUUGGGCUCUGACUCUACCUAGAUCAGAGACUACGUAGGGCUGUAUGUUUUGCCCUUCAGCGCCUUCAUCCCCUCACCUGUGAAGGGAGAUGAUUCUUAAUUCUGUGGUUUCUGGAGAAGUCAAAAGAGAGACAAAAUAAAGCAUUCAUUGUUCUUGUGUUUGGUAAAUUCCCUCUUAUAGGAAAUAUAUUUCACUUUCCUAAAUAAGAUAAUAACACGAGGCCCUAAACAUUAAUUCCAGAAAUUCUGUUCCAUUAUUCUUCCUCAAGGGGCCCUCUUUUCCUUAGUACCUUGACUGAACUCUCAGGAAAUUUCAUUAAGCAAGAUUACCACCACUACCCACCAAAAGCUUAAUGUUUAAUGCUAAUUAUUCCCUAGCAUUCCCUAUAUAUCCUUGUCUUCCACAGACACAGAUUUAAAUUUUUAAAAACUGGAUCUCUAAGUUUCAAACAUACUAAUUUUUACUUAAAUGAAGCUUCUUCCCAGAUAGAUCUGGUAGGAACCUAAGUGAAGAGUUAAUGAUUUAAUGUAUGAUUUAGUUGCAGGGCUUGAGUUAAGUUGGUUUAUGAAUUACCCAAUGAAGAGAGGCUCCAGAUUAUUCAUCAAUGUCCACAAAAAUAGGUUGGGGUGGUGGGGAAUGGGAAAAAAAAAUCACAAUCAGUUAAAAUUUGCUGUAAUAUUUCCUUAUAUUUGUAGAGCUGUUUAGAAUUCACCCAGUUUGCAGGAUUAAAACAUUUUCAAAUCUUGAGGAAGAAUGAUUGGGUUAUAAAUUUGCAGGUGAUUAGGAUAAAAAAAAUUCAGCAAAGCAAACCAUUUAAG